UCCGUAGGGGGCAAGCGUUGUCCGGAUUUAUUGGGCGUAAAGAGCGUGUAGGCGGUUUGGUAGGUCCGUUGUGAAAACUCGAGGCUCAACCUCGAGACGCCGAUGGAAACCAUCAGACUAGAGUCCGGAAGAGGAGAGUGGAAUUCCUGGUGUAGCGGUGAAAUGCGCAGAUAUCAGGAAGAACACCCGUGGCUAAGGCGGCUCUCUAGUACGGUACUGACGCUGAGACGCGAAAGCGUGGGGAGCGAACAGG
rnacentral:rRNA from 1 species